rnacentral:lncRNA from 1 species
AUCGUGGCCGGGCCAUGCCUGGAGGAGGUGAUCGUAUGUGCUGACUCUGAAAACUGCGCACACACACUCUCUGACGCUCUACUGUACAGGAAUACAGGUACAAAUACAUGAGGUUUAACAAUGCCCAAUGCUAGCCAAUCAAGUCAAUUUACAUCUUUAUUACAAUAGCCUUUUUUGUAUGCUUUGCAUGAAGCAUACGAUUCUAGAUUUGGAACUACAUACAAAGCUUAAAAGCAAAAUUAUUUUUUUGUAUGCUUUGCGUGAAGCAUACGAUGCUAGAUUUGGAACUACAUACAAAGCUCAAAAGCAAUAUGUUCAUAUACUAUAUCUAAAAUAUUUCAAAACAAGUUACAUGAAAAAAUUGCACAUGAGCCCAUAGUUUUUGUUAUAUUUGUGAAAUACGUACAUAUUUAUACGUAAAAAAAGCAUACUCAAAAAUGAUACAUACUACCUAAAAAUUAAUAUAUAUACUACCUAAUCAUUGUUAUAUACUACAUACUACAUGUACAUACUCUCUAUUUCGACGGAUACUACAUACAACAUACAAAACGCAAAACGCAAGUGGUGGUACCUAAAAAUUAGUAUAUAUACUACCUAAUCAUUGUUAUAUACUACAUACUACACGUACAUACUCUUUAUUUCGAUGGAUACUACAUACAACAUACAAAACGCAAAACGCAAGUGGUGGUAACAAAGUAUGUACGUGUAGUAUGUAGUAUAUAACAAUGAUUAGGUAGUAUAUAUAUUAAUUUUUAGAUAGUAUAUACAUGUUUUGAGUAUGCCUUUUUUUACGUAUAAAUAUGUACGUAUUUCACAAAUAUAACAAAAACUAUGGGCUCAUAUGUAAUUUUUUCAUGUAACUUGCUUUAAAAUAUCUUAGAUAUAAUAAAUAAAUAUAUUUAAAAUGAUAAAGUAGUAUAUAUAGUACCACAUGAUAGUAUAUGAGACAUAUAGGGUAACUACCACUGGGGAAAAUAUCUUAGAUAUAAUAUAUAUAUAUACAUAUAUAUAUAUAUAUAAUAAUUAGUGGGGAAAAGAAAUAAAUAUCAUUUUGUUGUAUAUUAGCAGAGAAUAGGAUUGCAAACGCUGUCAC